GGUGCCGUGGCAGAGCGGCCCAUUGCGAUCGACGUGGUGGAGGUUCCCGCCACGUCGACUGAGGGGGGUACGGCGGGCCUGCCCGCCCCCGUCCGCGGGUUCGAAUCCCGUCGGCACCU
rnacentral:tRNA from 1 species